CUAACACAAAAAUGUUGAGAUAUUUUGCUGUUUUUGGAUUAACCUGCAGGGACACAAAGCUUCAUGUCAAGUUUGUGAUGAUGGAGGAAUUCAUUACAACAGAGUAAUUAAUAUGCAGGAACAGAUUAUCUUCUUAUGUCAGCACAGUGUCAUCAACAACUUCCUUGAGACUGAAUGGCAUUUUUUUCACUAUUGGAAACAAGAAUAGCCACAACAGAGGCAGACUGGUGAAAAGGAUGAACCACAGAGGCUCAAGUAAGAAUUUUCAGAAACUACGCAAGAUGGAAGAAAAUGGUGACUUCUGACUGACUGCUGCACUGCGCUUGAUAUACUUGCUAACUUGCCUGCAGUUUUCUCUCAGCAAGUAAAACCAAUAAGGAAGAUAUUCCAUCUAAAAGAUGUUAAAGUAAUAAAAACUGAGUUAAAAAAAAUAAAUCACACAGCUUCUUCUUGCAGAAGUUGAGGACAGAACUGUAGAAGAGACACAGGUCAUCUAAAAAAUAAGCAAAGAGGAAGGAACUAACUUCCCCAUUCUGAAAUUCCAUGAUAUUCAGCAAUGUGAAUGAAUAAACAACUAUGAGACACAUCACAGAGGUGGGGAUUGGGCCACUGCUUGUCGAUGUAAGGCAACCAGGAGCCUGCACAUUCAUCUUACUAAUACCCAUAGAGCAACGAAUAUACAACCAAAGUAUCUUGCAAUUAUAUGCGUGUAAUAAGCUCCAUCGGUAUAAUCAGGAAAGAAACUUUUCAGAAACCACUAUAAAUGAUCAGAAAAUGGUUUUUUGAAGCACCUCACACACACAACUUCAUGAUGUACAUGAAAUAACAGUGCUAAAACUGAGAUAUUAAGAGUUGCACAGAGUUGAUUUCUCAUGCAGUAGUUCUAAAUCGUAAAGAGAAAGCUGAGAAAAAUGUGUUUUUCUUUCAAUGGGAAAGCAUCAUUUAAAGCAACUAUAUACCAGGAACUUGAAAGAGUAAGAAUCUGCUCUGAUCACUGGGUAAUGAUUGCAAUUAACAUUGUAUAGAAAAGCAAUAUACUAUUAAAAAUGUACUAUUGGGAAGAUAUAUUCUUGAAAAUACAUGUUGGAACAAUUAGAGCCUACUAAAACCUGAUCAACAAGACAGAAAACAGGCUUGCACUGACUUCUCCCAGAUCUGCUUGCAAGGCUUCUCAAGACCUUUAGGGCUAGCAUGGUGUGAAAGAACAUUUUUCCAACUUUGCAACAGUAAAUGUGUUGUUAACAGGCAAUUAGGAAACCACCUAAACAAAAAGUAAGGGAUAACUUUGAAAGAGGAGGCAUUAAUAUACGUCUGUGUGUGCCUGUCUUGCGAUGGACUUUGGAUGAUAUAAUGUCACAUUAUGCCAUCAGGUUAUUCAGUUCAAGCAUAAGAUUGUUAUAGGAAAAACAUACACCAUCUCUAGCAGUGCUUACACAAAAAAAUUUCAAACACACAUGAAAAAAAAUUUUGGUAUGCUUUUCAGCAUAACUAAGAAGUCUCUGCUUUAGAGAUGUGCUUGAUGUUAGAGAAUGUAGGUGGGAACAACAAGGUCUUUAUCCUAUCUUGUCUCUGUCACUUUGAAGAAAGCACUGAGUAUUGAAUAUUUUGGCUACUCUUCUCUGUGUCCUGAAUUUUGGCAUGAAGUUCAGUUUUGUAAAAACUGUUCUGGUGUUGAGGAUGCAGAUUCGUCCUCUUGAAUCUGUUUCAGCAGAGGACUAGAAAUAUAAGCUACUAAUAAUCCACAAUUGCAAACUGAACUUAUUGGAAUUAGGUAUUUGACUUAUUAAGGUGUAGUUAGUCUAUGGAUAGUAAUUCUUGUUGAUUUAAGCGUGCUUAUUUUAAUGAGAGAAAAAGCUGGAAAGUUGAAGGUGAGCGGCUGAUCACUCAGCAUGAAUGGCCUAAUGUGAAAACUAGGGAUGUGCCCAAAAUAUAGACCCUGUGAUGGAAUACUGUUAGCAGGUCUCUGCCUAUUCUGCUACAGUAAUCAAAUCCUUUCAGUGUUUAUGUUUGCUCAUUGGACAGGCAUUCUUGCUCACUUUAUAUCUAUGAGUCCAUCUCUGUUCAAAUAAAAAGCAUAUAUCUGUUUCAGCUGUUUGACUUGUUUUACAUGGGAGCCAAACAUCAGUGAUAAGAAUAGCAAACAUAAUGCACCAGAGCAGGAAAAGACUGGUAGCUGAUCCCAUGUCCCAGACCACAGACACUUACUGAGAAAUUUACUGAUAAUUAAAGUUAUUUUGAAGAUGACUUACUGCCCAAUGAAAAAAAAAAUACUUGCUAAGCCACAUGUCCAUCAGCACAGCACUGGUAGAAGGAGACAGCAACACCUUUUUCAGCAUUAUCAUAGAAUCAUUAAAAGCGAAGAAGACUUCCAUGAUCAUCCAGUCCAACUGUUGACCCAUCCCCUCUAUGCCCACUGACCAUGUCCCUCAGUGCCACAUCUCCAUGUUUCUUGACACCUCCAGGGACAGUGACUGCACCACCUCCUUGAGCAGCCCUUUCCAAUGCAUCACCACUCUGAGAAGAAAUUUUUCCUAACAUCCAACAUGAAUCUCCCCUGCUGCAAUCUGAGGCCAUUCCUUCUCAUCCCAUCGCUGUUACCUGGGAAAAGAGGCUGACCUCCACCUUGCUACAACCUCCAUUCUGGGAGUUGUAAAGAGCCAUAGGAUCUCCACGAGCCUCCUCUUCUCCUGACUGAACAACCCCGGCUCCCUCAGCCACUCCCCAUAAGACUUGGGCUCCAGACCUUUCACAGCUCCUUCUCUGGACAUGUUCCAGGGCCUCAGUGUUUUUCAUGUAGUGAGGGGCCUGAAACUGAAUGCAGUACUUGAGGUGUGGCCUCACCAGGACCCAGUGCAGAGGGACGAUCACCUCCCUGCUCCUGCUGACUACACUAUUUUUGAUGCUGUUGGCCUUCUUGGCUAACUGGGCACACCGCUGGCUCAUGUUCAGUCAGCUGUCAACUAACAUCCACAGAUCCUUUUCCUCUGAGAUUAUCACACCACAACAUGCUGAUAGGUUGAAGUGAUUCUAUCCACUUCGGCAAAAAGCUAUUCUUCAUUUUGAGAAAGAAGAAAAAUAAACGCUAGUUGGCUGCUCACCUUUGUAUUAUUACUAGGGAGGUUAAAAGACAAAAGCAAGGAAGAAAACCAAGUCUGCAACAGACCAGUGGUUAUUGACAAUAGCUCUAGUUCUGGCACAUGGACAUCUCCAGAUUUGGCUUAUAGCUCGAAGUUCAUUCACACACAGAAAACUUCUGGUCUUGAACACAAAUGAAAACCAACAAAUGAAAAACUAAAUAAAGUUGAGGGAAUUGGGAGGUUUGAAAAAUCACUUUGACAAGGACUUAUGUCCUAGAAGUGCUCCAGCAGUUGUUCUUAUGAUGAUAUACCAAAUUUACUACUCAAAAAACUCACAUAAUUUUAGGAUAUUAUGGUAUAGAUAUAUGUAGUUUUUACCAGGAAUAUUAGUCCCAAUGAACUAUGAAUAGCUUUCCCUUAAAUUUCGGAAUGAUUUCCACUCUCUUCAAAAGGAGGCUUUAUACUAAACUUCAUGGUUCAGAAUGUCCGAAAGAACUACUGCUUUUUCAUGGCAUCUCUUCAUCCCCAUGAUCAUAUUGUACACAAUGAAAGCACAAAAUGAAGCCUGUCCAUAUGCAGACAUGAGUUGCUUAAGUAGGUAUCCCUGAACCCGAUUCCCCACCAGCAGAAUGAAGUUACCUACUUUAUAUCUAGUCUUUCACUUUAAAUAUUUCUACGAUACUAUGUUGUGUAAAGCGAUGCGUCCUCUGUUCCAGGGCAAUUAAACUUUGAAUAAUUGUCCUUAUGUCCCCCACACCGAACACUACUAACGCAUAGUUCCCCACAUAGUAACACCUGUUGCUGGCUGCAGUUUUACAUAAAAAUGUGUAUGUUCUCUUAACAUAUGUACAAAUGCAUCCAUCUUAAAACGCAAUUGAUAUGAUCCUUUCUGUAAUACUCGGACAGCUUUGUUGAAAGUUUACUCUGAGCAGUACUGAAAGAAUUGAGCAACAGAAAGCUCAGUAUAAUACUUAAUACUGCUAAGCAAACAUCAGCAAGGGUGUUCAAAUCUCUUUUGCAGCAAUAAUAUGAAAUGUUGGCAUGAAAUACAGGACAGACAACAGAAGAUAUCUAGAAAUAAACAUGGACCCUGUAUUACAAACUUACAUAUUAACUCCAGGGGAACAGUAGUGUUCUUGCUAACGCUGCACAAUGCUGCAGGGGAAAAUUCCAGGUAGCUUUCAAGAUGCAACAGACCUUUUUGUGCUAAAUUUCAUCGUAACAGAAAAAAAAACUUUAGUCUCCCAGUCUUUAGCUGUUGUUUUCUUCAUACUGCUUUGAUACAGCCUUAGAACAUUUCAAGAGCAUGAUUUGUCACCACCACAUUUUUUCAUCACUAUGACCUGAGCAGUGUUCCAGUCUGGAUGAAUUUUAUAUUUACUUUAUGGUUAUUAACAAUACACCUAAUUACUUGUUUAUAUCUCACUGAACGUUCUCUUAGGAUUUGAAAGGAAAGAGAGGUUCAAGUCUCAGGCAGAUCAGGCUCAUGUUUGUAAUGUAGCAGUUAUUUUCCAUUUCUAUACUGGCUUUUGUUGGAUCAGAAAAUACUUGCUGGAUUGCUGAGGCAGCUCCUUCCAUUCAUUUUACUUGAGCUCCUGGAUAAAUAUGGUUAACCACGUUUAUCCAUCAUUCAACCUCUCACUAUUAGUUUUCACUAGUAGUUUUCAGCCAUCCUGAAGGUUGCAGGUUAACAAAGAAGAUGCACAUUUUAGCAAGGUCUUGUUCUUUUACAAGAGGAUAUGGUCAGUAAAACCAAUUACAGACUGAAGUGUUUAAUUAGAUCUUUCCUGGGAUUUUAAUAGAGUAAAGCACCACAGUUCCAAAAGGUCAAGACUGACAAAAUUCCCAUUAUCCUCCAGGAGGCUGGGAUUUUUGCUAUAACCACCUGAAAAUAAUCCCUAUUUCUGACACGCUGACAAGACUGGGCUGCUUUUUUGCUAACUUGGUUUUCCGCUACUGUCCUUUUCAG
ensembl:lncRNA